rnacentral:rRNA from 1 species
AGCUCUUCGAGUGGUGUGGAUGUUUAUUGGGCCUAAAGCAUCCGUAGCUGGCUAAGUUAGUCCCUUGUUAAAUCCACCGAAUUAAUCGUUGGAUCGCGGGGGAUACUGCUUGGCUAGGGGACGAGAGAGGCAGACGGUAUUUUCGGGGUAGGGGUGAAAUCCUAUAAUCCCGGGAAGACCACCAGUGGCGAAGGCUGUCUGCUAGAACGCGCCCGACGGUGAGGGAUGAAAGCUGGGGGAGCGAACC